rnacentral:rRNA from 1 species
AUGAACGCUGGCGGCGUGCCUAAUACAUGCCAGUCGAGCGAACGGACGAGAAGCUUGCUUCUCUGAUGUUAGCGGCGGACGGGUGAGUAACACGUGGAUAACCUACCUAUAAGACUGGGAUAACUUCGGGAAACCGGAGCUAAUACCGGAUAAUAUUUUGAACCGCAUGGUUCAAAAGUGAAAGACGGUCUUGCUGUCACUUAUAGAUGGAUCCGCGCUGCAUUAGCUAGUUGGUAAGGUAACGGCUUACCAAGGCAACGAUGCAUAGCCGACCUGAGAGGGUGAUCGGCCACACUGGAACUGAGACACGGUCCAGACUCCUACGGGAGGCAGCAGUAGGGAAUCUUCCGCAAUGGGCGAAAGCCUGACGGAGCAACGCCGCGUGAGUGAUGAAGGUCUUUGGAUCGUAAAACUCUGUUAUUAGGGAAGAACAUAUGUGUAAGUAACUGUGCACAUCUUGACGGUACCUAAUCAGAAAGCCACGGCUAACUACGUG